rnacentral:rRNA from 1 species
UACAACCUACGGGACGCAGCAGUGAGGAAUAUUGGUCAAUGGGCGAGAGCCUGAACCAGCCAAGUCGCGUGAGGGAAGACGGUCCUAUGGAUUGUAAACCUCUUUUGCCGGGGAGCAACAAGCGGUACGUGUACCGCAUCGAGAGUACCCGGAGAAAAAGCAUCGGCUAACUCCGUGCCAGCAGCCGCGGUAAUACGGAGGAUGCGAGCGUUAUCCGGAUUUAUUGGGUUUAAAGGGUGCGCAGGCGGCGCGUUAAGUCAGCGGUACAAUUUCGGGGCUCAACCCCGACGAGCCGUUGAAACUGG